rnacentral:lncRNA from 1 species
UUGAGAGGCCGAGGCAGGAGGAGCACCAGGAUCUCAAGGCCAGCCUGGCUAUGACUUGGUACACCCUGACACUGUGGCAGGGCAGAGCUGACCCCACGUCGGUGGAUGAUCUCCUCUACAUCCGGGACAACACGGAGGCUCACCGAGUCUACUACGAUCUCUUCGAGCCCAUCCUGUCGCAGCUCAAGCAGCAGGCUUGGUGACCUUCCAUGAAUCCUGCAGGCUUCCAACAUGGCCACAGGGAGACCAUCCCACUUCCAACUGCACCAAGAAGUGCUCAGAAGUCCUUAUUAGGAAGACUCUGAUGAAGUUCAUUGACCCGAAAAUCACUGUUCAGCCCUGUUCUUUUUACUACAUUUAGAUAUAUAAGGAAGCUGUGUGAGAUAGAU